AUUGAACGCUGGCGGCAGGCUUAACACAUGCAAGUCGAGCGGAGAUGAGGUGCUUGCACCUUAUCUUAGCGGCGGACGGGUGAGUAAUGCUUAGGAAUCUGCCUAUUAGUGGGGGACAACAUUCCGAAAGGAAUGCUAAUACCGCAUACGUCCUACGGGAGAAAGCAGGGGAUCUUCGGACCUUGCGCUAAUAGAUGAGCCUAAGUCGGUGUAGCUAGUUGGUGGGGUAAAGGCCUACCAAGGCGACGAUCUGUAGCGGGUCUGGGAGGAUGAUCCGCCACACUGGGACUGAGACACCGCCCAGACUCCUACGGGAGGUAGCAGUGGGGAAUAUUGGACAAUGGGUGAAACCCUGAUCCAGCCAUGCCGCGUGUGUGAAGAAGGCCUUAUGGUUGUAAAGCACUUUAAGCGAGGAGGAGGCUGCUGAGACUAAUACUCUUGGAUAGUGGACGUUACUCGCAGAAUAAGCACCGGCUAACUCUGUGCCAGCAGCCGCCGUAA
rnacentral:rRNA from 1 species